CUUUAUUAUAGUUUUAUUGGUUAUGAGUAUUACCAAAUUAUAUAAGUCCAUCCUUAUAAUUUUUAAUUUUUUUUGAAAAUUAUAUUACUUGAAUGGCGGGCCUUCCUACAUGCGUGGCGUUAUGUUUACCGAACCUAAUAAACCUCUCUCUAUUGAAGAGUUCCACAUGCCUCGCCCCAAGGCUGGUGAAGUUCUCAUCAAAACCAAGGGUUUCUUGGGAAUAAUAAAUUAGCCGGUACCCUUCCUGCCCAAAUGAGUACAUCUCUCCUGAAUAUUAAUUUAGUGGCCAACAACUUCACAAUGGAAAGUUCAAACAACAGGUGAUCUUUGAGACAUCAAGAUUAGCUACAAUUGUUAAUGGGGUUUUAAGGAAGACUACGCAAGACAUCAAGAUUAGCUACAAUUGUUAAUGGGGUUUCAAAUGACAAUGAAGGAUG